rnacentral:lncRNA from 1 species
CCUUCUGCAGGCUGUUUUCUCAUUGUAAAGUGAGAGAUGUAAUAUCUCUCUAUUGGAGGAAAGCAAUAUGCAACAGCUGGAACUAAGUAAAUGCUCUUUCUCAUUCAUUUAACGGAGUUUAGGAGUUCCUUCAUGCUCAGAGGGUUAAGAACCUGGUAUUGUCACUGCUUUGCCUCAGGUCACUGCUGUGGCACUGGUUGGAUCCUCGGCCUGGGAACUUCAACAUGAUGUGAUUGUGGACAAACAAACAAACAGAGUAGUUUAAAUGUUUGGGACCUUACUUGUGGCUGGUGAGGAUGAUGAAGAGCUUCCAACAGAGCACUAUUUGGAUAAAAAAAAAUUUAUUAUAUUGAGUUCCCAUUGUGGCUUAGCAAUAACAAACCCAGCUAGUAUCCUUGAAGACUCAGGUUUGAUCCUUGGCAUCACUCACUAUUUUGAGAAUCUGGUCUUGCCUUGAGCUGUGAUGUAAGUCACAGACAGAAUAUGGAUCACCCAUCACUGUGGCUGUGGUGUAGGCUGACUGCUGUAGCUCUGAUUUGAUCCCUAGCCUGGUAACUUCCAUAGGCUAUGGGUGCAGCCCUAAACAUGUAGCAAAAAUUGAUUAUAUCACAUGUUAUUGUGGUUGUGAUGGUAGAAUGUAAACUGAGCAAUUUGGAGGACAAUUUGGCAAUGAACUACCAAAAACCAUGCAUACCCUAUGUCUUAGACUGCUUGGGCUGCUUUCAUAAAGUACAAUAGACUGGGGGCCUUAAACAACAGACAUUUAUUUCUUGCAGUUCUGGAGGCUGGGAAACCCAAGAUCAGGUACUCAGCAUGAUUGGAUUCUGGUGAGGGCCCAAUUUCAGACUUACUGAUGCCUGCCUUCUUUAUCUCAUAUGAUGGAGAGAGACAGAGCAGGUUGUCUAGAUUAUUUUUCUAGGGGCACUAAUUCCAUCAUGAGAACCCCACCCUUCUGACCAUGUUACCUAAUUAUCUCCCAAAGGCUCCUCUUCCAGGUACCAUUACAGUGUGGGUUAGGGUUUCAACAUAUGAAUUUUUUGGGGGGAGACAUUUUCUCCACCUUGGUGGGGAUCACUGCUAGAGGUCAGUGUCUGAGCUUAGAAAGCUGUGGGCCUCAAGCUCCAACCAACCACACAUUCUCCAUGAAAAAUCAGCUUGCCAGCUAAAGUUCUACAUCCAGAACCCAGUUGGUAGCAAAAGCCCUUGUGUGUUUCCAUCUAUUCACAUGCAUGCAAAUACUACUUACCAUCACAGAUUAAGGAGCAUCUAUAAAAUGGAAACCAUCAGAUUUCAAGGCUUUUAAAUUUAUUUGAAAUUUUGGGGUUCAAGGAUCCCAAAAUAUUAGUUAAGCAUUUACUAUUGAUGUGUGUGUGUGUGCACAAAACAUAGAGUGAAUUCUCCAUUAAUUUCUCCCUGUUGCCUUACUGCCCAUGAGGAGUAAUCCUGACAUUCAGGGACAUUCAUUUUUUUUCCUUGAAGGAAAGAAUAUGGAAUUCCAUAGAAGGAAGGAGAUAAGACACACAGCUAUGAAGGUAUGGAGUUGGGCUUGAACUCAGAUCUGGCUCCAAAUCAAGUUUCUUUGUCUCUGUGCAGAGACCCUAAUUAGAUCUCUUAAAAGAUUACCAAAUUAUUGUUGGCACUGUCUUGCCUCAGUCC